rnacentral:rRNA from 1 species
UACGGGGGGGGCAAGCGUUGUUCGGAAUUACUGGGCGUAAAGGGCUCGUAGGUGGCCAACUAAGUCGGACGUGAAAUCCCUCAGCUUAACUGGGGAACUGCGUCCGAUACUGGAUGGCUUGAGUUUGGGAGAGGGAUGCGGAAUUCCAGGUGUAGCGGUGAAAUGCGUAGAUAUCUGGAGGAACACCGGUGGCGAAGGCGGCAUCCUGGACCGAGAUUGACGCUGAACAGCGAAAGCUAGGGGAGCAAACGGG